UCGAGCCGAUAACAUUGCACAGCUCACUUAUGACAUAUUAAAUACAACGGACGAGGCAUUAAUUAUACUCUGUAUGGAAUAAUUUUCUCAGAGCAUCGACUUCUUCGGUUCGCCAUUAUUUAAUUGACGAUACUAAGCUUCCGUCGAUAAAUGCAGUGAUAUCGUCGUUCGGUUUCGUGCGACCAGGUGUCGGUAUGGCGCACGUAACGUUGCACGUGUUACGUUCUUGCCGUUUAAACGGGCUUACAGUUCCGCUCGGCUUAAGUGCUGUUCGACGUCCUGUUAAUGCUCAGUGGUGUUCCUCGAUCCGUAGAAACCUAGGAACGACGAUGUCAUACUCAACUAUCGAACGAGGGGCCCCUAAUUCUACGGAUUAUAGGAUGUAUUUCAGAAAUGAUAUUUGCCCCAUCUCUCCCAUGCACGAUAUUCCCUUAUAUGCUGAUGAAGCAAAUAAAAUAUUUCACAUGAUCGUCGAAGUACCACGAUGGACAAAUGCUAAAAUGGAAAUCAAUCUUAAAGAGACAUUGAAUCCUAUUAAGCAGGAUGUUAAGAAGGGUAAACUGCGAUUUGUUGCUAAUUGUUUUCCUCACCAUGGGUAUAUAUGGAACUAUGGAGCACUUCCUCAGACAUGGGAAAAUCCUGAAGUUUUAGAUGAAGCAACAGGCUGUAAAGGAGAUAAUGACCCAAUAGAUGUCCUUGAAAUAGGCUAUAAAGUUGCAAAACGGGGAGAAGUGCUGAAAGUUAAAGUCCUUGGUGCGAUUGCCCUACUUGAUGAAGGGGAAACUGACUGGAAAAUUAUCGCUGUAGAUAUAAAUGAUCCAUUAGCUGAACAAAUGAAUAGUGUCGCUGAUGUCGAAAAACACUAUCCCGGUUUAAUGAAAGCAACCAUAGAAUGGUUUAAAAUCUACAAAAUACCGGACGGUAAACCAGAAAAUCAAUUUGCUUUCAAUGGAGAGGCAAAAUCGAAGGAAUUCGCCCUGAAAAUUAUCGAUGACGUUCACCGGCAUUGGUCGAGUCUUAUCAAAAGGGACGCACCGGCAGGAAAUAUCGCUUGUACGAAUGUAACUGUCGACGGAAGUCCUUUUAAAAUAACUCCAACCGCAGCCGAGGAAGUGGUGGAAAAAGCGCCAGAACGAGUGGAGCCUCACCCCGUUGAACCCAUCGCUGGCUACGUUUUCGUGAACUGUAAAUAUUGAAGUUUCCAAGCUAACGGGACGCUUAAUGGAGCUAGCCAUUCCGAAGUGCAACACGUGAAAUAUUUGAUCGAUAAGUGGCACUACGUUCAUCUGAAAUAAUAUGGAAAAAGCGGAUAGCGUAAAAUUUCGCCGAUGGAUCCGCAACCUAUAGCUAUCCACUGGCGCAAAACAGAAUCGAUGUGAUUUGUCCUAGUCGAUGGGACCGGCUGCUUCGAUACGGAUUCGGUAAACGUCAUCAGAGAAAAAAGAUUUUCUUACACGCAACGUUAUACUCGGUAUCACUGAAAGAAAUGGAUGUAAUUAGAAUUGCACGAAUAAAGUACACUCUUUGAUUAA